GUCACACAGUGCAUGCUCACAGAGUACGGUAUCUGACAGACAUUUCCCCGAAGUGGGAGUAUCCACAAAGUCAUUCUUGUGAAGUCCAUACUAAACAUAUCCACAAACACAUAUCAGGGAUGAAUCUCAAUCUAUGGCCAAAAGAGACAUCUUGACUGAGAACUCUAUGGAAUAGCUGCAAUAGUCAGUUUUUCAUCAUGUCUUAUUACAAGACACCAUAUGUUUAUCAACAUGUUCAACCAUCUAGUACCCGUGACACCUAUGUAGAUGAGACUUAUGAUCGUGGUUAUCAUGUCUAUUCAGGCGACACCACCCGUACAGGAUGGAGCACUUUUAGUGACAGUGAGUAUCACAGAGGAGAAACCUUGCCACUUCGAUCAGUUCCAACACCAGGACCUGCUGCUCCUGUUGACAGCCGCUACCGAGCCAUGCCACCUGUCAGGCAGCAGAAACCCAGGAUUGGCAACUUAGAACUCUUGAAUCCCAUGGAAAGUGAAGCUUUGCUGGAGCAAGGGCCUGUAAAGUUUGGUUCCAGCUGGGAAUCAAGGAACAUUCCUAAUGAUGAGCUGAACUUCAAGAACAUUGCCAACACAGAAGAGCCUGCUGGGGAACCACCAAAAGACAGAUUUAAUAUGGUCUACCUUAUCCUGAUGUUAUUUGGAACUGGUUCUCUUAUGCCAUGGAACAUGCAUGUAACUGCCAAUGCUUAUUUUGUGGACUUGAAGCUCAAUGUCAAUGAAUCUAACAUUCAGACAGAAGAUUUUAGAAGAAAUUUUCUCUCCUACCUUGGUGUUGCAUGUCAAGUUCCCAAUGUUUUGUGCAGUGGUUUGAAUCUUUUUCUGCAUACUGGGGGUGGAAACUUCACUAAAAGGAUUAUUAUCAGUUUAAUCAUCACUGUUGUCAUGUUCAUUGUGAGUGUGGCACUAGCCAUUUUGGACUCUUCUGACUGGCCAGGGCUGUUCUUCUAUAUAACCAUGGCCUCAAUUGUCCUGAUGAGUAUGGGCAAUGGUGUGUAUCAGAAUUGCAUUUAUGGACUAGCAGCUAAGUUGCCAAUGAAGUUCUCCAAUGCUAUUCUUGUGGGAACAAACAUUAGUGGAACUCUUGCUGCUUCUUUUAAUGUUCUGUCUAUUGCAGUAGUGCCAGAUCUCAGGACAGCAGUUAUAUACUCUUUUGUCAGUGCAAUUUUCAUUCUUCUCUUGGCUCUGGAUACAUAUUUUGCCCUUCCUUUAACACGUUUCUACAAAUAUUAUGACAAGUUAACAAUGAAAGCUCUUGUGGACAGGAAGUUGGUGGCAAGAAGCCCUCCUUAUUGGUUGAUUUUUAAACAGAUAUGGCCUCAGUGUUUCAACGUGUUUUUUGUUUUUUUUGUCACACUGACCAAUUUUCCAGCUGUUCUUAUUAAUAUUUUCCCAUUGGACCAAAAUUUCAUCCUUCCAACUACAUAUUUCACCCCAGUCACCUGUUUCUUGUGUUUCAACUUUUUUGCCAUGUUUGGGAACAUACUUGCAAACUGGAUCAGAUGGCCAGGACCUUGUUUCCUCUGGAUACCGGUGUUUUUGAGGUCACUGAUGAUACCAUAUUUCAUGCUUUGUAACUACAAACCUGACCACCGAGUCCUUCCAGUACUUAUCAACAACGACUGGGCCUACAUUGGCAUGUCUGUGUUUCAUGGACUGACCAGUGGCUACUGCAGUAGUUUGGCUAUGAUGUUUGUUCCAUGACAGUCCUUUUUUUGUGCACAUCCCCAAUGUCUUAUUUACUGUACAAUAUGCAAACAAUGUGUACAGCUGUACAUUGGAUAAACAGGCUCCUGCCUUGGUGACAAGAAUCUAUGAACAUCCUUGGUGAUGGAUGCCAUUUCAGUAAUACAGAACAUAACUUCAAAUUCCUAUUGGUUUUUUUGGUAGUCUCAUUUCUUUACAUCAAUAAACUCCAACCAAUCAAAAAAUGUUAAAAAAACAUAGCUGCUCAACGGAAACUGUCUGUAGAAAGAGAACACACUACCACAGCUGGAAUGAUGGCUGCCUUCUUCCUCAUCCUUGGUGUCUUUUGUGGUGUUAACUUUUCUUUCUUCAUCUCCUGGUUGGUAGAAACUCGGUUGUUUUGAGAUUGACAACAA
rnacentral:misc_RNA from 1 species